CGCUCUUUGAAAAGACUAUCUAAAAUAUAAAGAGUACUGCCUGCCCAGUGACGUUAGUUCAACGGCCGCGGUAUCUUGACCGUGCAAAGGUAGCAUAAUCAUUUGCCUUUUAAAUGGAGGCUGGAAUGAAUGGCAAGACGAAAAUUUAACUGUCUCUUUCUCAACUAUCCUGAAAUUAAUUUCCUUGUGAAGAAGCGGGGAUAAAGUCGUGGGACGAGAAGACCCUAUUGAGCUUAAACAGAAAAUAUAAAUAUAUUUUUUUUAUUCUUAACUAAUAACUUACAAAAAUAUAAUUUUAUUAGGACUAAAGAUAGUGUUGUGUGUUCUAUGUUUUGGUUGGGGCAACCGCGGAGUAUAUUUAACCUCCGCUAAUAAAAAAGAAAAAGAUAUUUCUUUAAAAAAAUAAUUUGUCAAAAUGAUCCACUAUAAAAGUGAUCAAAGGAAAAAGUUACCAUAGGGAUAACAGCGUAAUUUUUUUGGAGAGUUCAUAUUGAUAAAAAAGUUUGCGACCUCGAUGUUGGAUCGGGAUUUCCUAGGGGUGUAGCAGCUUCUAAGGGUUGGUCUGUUCGACCAUUAAAAUCCU
rnacentral:rRNA from 1 species